rnacentral:rRNA from 1 species
GUCCUUGCCGUAAACGAUGUAUACUUGAUGUAGUUGGACUCAACCCCGACUGUGUCGUAGCUAACGCGAUAAGUAUACCGCCUGAGGAGUACGCUCGCAAGGGUGAAACUCAAAAGAAUUGACGGGGGCCCGCACAAGCAGUGGAGCAUGUGGUUUAAUUCGAUGCAACGCGUAGAACCUUACCCAGGCUCGAAGUACAGGGGACAGUCCCUGAAAGGGGAUCUCUCGCAAGGGUCGCUGUAUAGGUGCUGCAUGGCUGUCGU